UACGGAAGGCAGCAGGGGGAAUAUUGCACAAUGGGCGCAAGCCUGAUGCAGCCAUGCCGCGUGUAUGAAAAAGGCCUUCGGGUUGUAAAGUACUUUCAGUCGUGAGGAAGGUGUUAAGGUUAAUAACCUUAGCAAUUGACGUUAGCGACAGAAGAAGCACCGGCUAACUCCGUGCCAGCAGCCGCGGUAAUACGGAGGGUGCGAGCGUUAAUCGGAAUUACUGGGCGUAAAGGGCACGCAGGCGGUUAAUUAAGUUGGAUGUGAAAUCCCCGGGCUUAACCUGGGAAUGGCAUUCAAGACUGGUUAGCUAGAGUCUUGUAGAGGGGGUAGAAUUCCAUGUGUAGCGGUGAAAUGCGUAGAGAUGUGGAGGAAUACCGGUGGCGAAGGCGGCCCCUGGGACAAAGACUGACGCUCAUGUGCGAAAGCGUGGGGAGCAAACAGGGAUUAGAUACC
rnacentral:rRNA from 1 species